AGUAAGGAAUCGAGGAACACUGUGUAACUCAGUGGCUGUGCCGCAACGGUUAUAGUCCGGAACUCUCCCUUACGAGGCAUCCCGAGCAGGAGGUAUAUGAAAAAAAU
rnacentral:ncRNA from 29 species